AACGAACGCUGGCGGCGUGCCUAACACAUGCAAGUCGUGCGAGAAAGUUCCUUCGGGAGCGAGUAAAGCGGCGCACGGGUGAGUAACACGUAGGUAACCUGCCCCCCAGUCUGGAACAACUAGAGGAAACUCUAGCUAAUGCCGGAUGAGACCACGAUCCCUUCGGGGGUUGCGGCCAAAGAUGGCCUCUACUUGUAAGCUAUCGCUGAGGGAUGGGCCUGCGGCCAUUAGCUUGUUGGUGAGGUAACGGCUCACCAAGGCUGUGAUGGCUAGCUGGUCUGAGAGGAUGACCAGCCACACUGGGACUGAGACACGGCCCAGACUCCUACGGGAGCAGCAGUGGGAAUA
rnacentral:rRNA from 1 species